UCACAGUGCCUGACACUCCUCCCUUGUUAGUGCCAGCUGUGAAACAUCUGCAUGAAAGGACCAGCCCAAGACACCCAGGUUGUGUUCCUGUCCAGGAAGCAAGUUCCCUUUCAGAGCUCCUUUAAUUCUGGGUAGUUGAUGUUAAACAUCAUAGUCCUGGAUGAUCUGGUACUGGUCCCAAAAGAAACCCCACACCAUUGUUCUCUUUCUUGGUGUGUUCUCAGGAGACAAGAGUAACCAUUUAUCCAGCCUGGAGAAAGUCUUGCAGGGAGACACAAAGGGCCUGGAUGGGAGCCUUGUCAGGAGGAUCAUUCACUUGGCCUCCAAAGACAUGAGGGAGACCCAGCAAGAAAAUGAUGAACUGCAGUAGGCUGCAG